rnacentral:rRNA from 1 species
CCUACGGGUGGCAGCAGUGGGGAAUAUUGGGCAAUGGGCGCAAGCCUUACCCAGCAAUACCGCGUGAGUGAAGCAGGUCUUCGGAUUGUAAAGCUCUUUGAUCAGGGACGAACAGAUGCCGGUACCUGAAGAACAAGCCCCGGCUAAAUACGUGCCAGCAGCCGCGGUAAAACGUAAGGGGCGAGCGUUGUCCGGAAUGACUGGGCGGAAAUGGUGUGUUGGCGGCAUAAUAAGUUGGAAGUGGAAUACCCAGGGCUUAACUCGGGUGCUGCUUCUAGGACUGUUGAGCUUGAGUGCGGGGGAGGUUGAUGGAAUUCCUAGUGUAGCGGUGGAAUGCUUAGAUAUUAGGAAGAACACC